rnacentral:rRNA from 1 species
UACGAAGGGGGCUAGCGUUGCUCGGAAUUACUGGGCGUAAAGGGCGCGUAGGCGGACAGUUUAGUCAGAGGUGAAAGCCCAGGGCUCAACUUUGGAAUUGCCUUUGAUACUGGCUGUCUUGAGUACGGGAGAGGUGAGUGGAACUCCGAGUGUAGAGGUGAAAUUCGUAGAUAUUCGGAAGAACACCAGUGGCGAAGGCGACUCACUGGCCCGUUACUGACGCUGAGGCGCGAAAGCGUGGGGAGCAAACAGG